rnacentral:rRNA from 1 species
UUAAGCGACUAAGCGUACACGGUGGAUGCCCUGGCAGUCAGAGGCGAUGAAGGACGUGCUAAUCUGCGAAAAGCGUCGGUAAGGUGAUAUGAACCGUUAUAACCGGCGAUGUCCGAAUGGGGAAACCCAGUGCAAUUCGUUGCACUAUCGUUAACUGAAUACAUAGGUUAACGAGGCGAACCGGGGGAACUGAAACAUCUAAGUACCCCGAGGAAAAGAAAUCAACCGAGAUUCCCCCAGUAGCGGCGAGCGAACGGGGAGCAGCCCAGAGUCUGAAUCAGCUUGUGUGUUAGUGGAACGGUCUGGAAAGUCCGACGGUACAGGGUGAUAGUCCCGUACACCAAAAUGCACAGGCUGUGAACUCGAAGAGUAGGGCGGGACACGUGGUAUCCUGUCUGAAUAUGGGGGGACCAUCCUCCAAGGCUAAAUACUCCUGACUGACCGAUAGUGAACCAGUACCGUGAGGGAAAGGCGAAAAGAACCCCGGCGAGGGGAGUGAAAAAGAACCUGAAACCGUGUACGUACAAGCAGUGGGAGCACCUUCGGGUGUGACUGCGUACCUUUUGUAUAAUGGGUCAGCGACUUAUAUUCUGUAGCAAGGUUAACCGUAUAGGGGAGCCGCAGGGAAACCGAGUCUUAACUGGGCGUUAAGUUGCAGGGUAUAGACCCGAAACCCGGUGAUCUAGCCAUGGGCAGGUUGAAGGUUGGGUAACACUAACUGGAGGACCGAACCGACUAAUGUUGAAAAAUUAGCGGAUGACUUGUGGCUGGGGGUGAAAGGCCAAUCAAACCGGGAGAUAGCUGGUUCUCCCCGAAAGCUAUUUAGGUAGCGCCUCGUGAACUCAUCUUCGGGGGUAGAGCACUGUUUCGGCUAGGGGGUCAUCCCGACUUACCAACCCGAUGCAAACUACGAAUACCGAAGAAUGUUAUCACGGGAGACACACGGCGGGUGCUAACGUCCGUCGUGAAGAGGGAAACAACCCAGACCGCCAGCUAAGGUCCCAAAGUCAUGGUUAAGUGGGAAACGAUGUGGGAAGGCACAGACAGCCAGGAUGUUGGCUUAGAAGCAGCCAUCAUUUAAAGAAAGCGUAAUAGCUCACUGGUCGAGUCGGCCUGCGCGGAAGAUGUAACGGGGCUAAACCAUGCACCGAAGCUGCGGCAGCGACACUAUGUGUUGUUGGGUAGGGGAGCGUUCUGUAAGCCUGCGAAGGUGUGCUGUGAGGCAUGCUGGAGGUAUCAGAAGUGCGAAUGCUGACAUAAGUAACGAUAAAGCGGGUGAAAAGCCCGCUCGCCGGAAGACCAAGGGUUCCUGUCCAACGUUAAUCGGGGCAGGGUGAGUCGACCCCUAAGGCGAGGCCGAAAGGCGUAGUCGAUGGGAAACAGGUUAAUAUUCCUGUACUUGGUGUUACUGCGAAGGGGGGACGGAGAAGGCUAUGUUAGCCGGGCGACGGUUGUCCCGGUUUAAGCAUGUAGGCUGGUUGUCCAGGCAAAUCCGGAUAAUCAAGGCUGAGGUGUGAUGACGAGGCACUACGGUGCUGAAGUAACAAAUGCCCUGCUUCCAGGAAAAGCCUCUAAGCAUCAGGUAACAUCAAAUCGUACCCCAAACCGACACAGGUGGUCAGGUAGAGAAUACCAAGGCGCUUGAGAGAACUCGGGUGAAGGAACUAGGCAAAAUGGUGCCGUAACUUCGGGAGAAGGCACGCUGGUGUGUAGGUGAAGCCCCUGCGGGUGGAGCUGAGACCAGUCGAAGAUACCAGCUGGCUGCAACUGUUUAUUAAAAACACAGCACUGUGCAAACACGAAAGUGGACGUAUACGGUGUGACGCCUGCCCGGUGCCGGAAGGUUAAUUGAUGGGGUUAUCCGUAAGGAGAAGCUCUUGAUCGAAGCCCCGGUAAACGGCGGCCGUAACUAUAACGGUCCUAAGGUAGCGAAAUUCCUUGUCGGGUAAGUUCCGACCUGCACGAAUGGCGUAAUGAUGGCGAGGCUGUCUCCACCCGAGACUCAGUGAAAUUGAACUCGCUGUGAAGAUGCAGUGUACCCGCGGCAAGACGGAAAGACCCCGUGAACCUUUACUAUAGCUUGACACUGAACAUUGAGCCUUGAUGUGUAGGAUAGGUGGGAGGCUUUGAAGCGUGGACGCCAGUCUGCGUGGAGCCAACCUUGAAAUACCACCCUUUAAUGUUUGAUGUUCUAACGUUGGCCCCUUACCGGGGUUGCGGACAGUGUCUGGUGGGUAGUUUGACUGGGGCGGUCUCCUCCCAAAGCGUAACGGAGGAGCACGAAGGUUAGCUAAUCCGGUCGGACAUCAGGAGGUUAGUGCAAUGGCAUAAGCUAGCUUGACUGCGAGCGUGACGGCGCGAGCAGGUGCGAAAGCAGGUCAUAGUGAUCCGGUGGUUCUGAAUGGAAGGGCCAUCGCUCAACGGAUAAAAGGUACUCCGGGGAUAACAGGCUGAUACCGCCCAAGAGUUCAUAUCGACGGCGGUGUUUGGCACCUCGAUGUCGGCUCAUCACAUCCUGGGGCUGAAGUAGGUCCCAAGGGUAUGGCUGUUCGCCAUUUAAAGUGGUACGCGAGCUGGGUUUAGAACGUCGUGAGACAGUUCGGUCCCUAUCUGCCGUGGGCGCUGGAGAAUUGAGGGGGGCUGCUCCUAGUACGAGAGGACCGGAGUGGACGCAUCACUGGUGUUCGGGUUGUCAUGCCAAUGGCACUGCCCGGUAGCUAAAUGCGGAAGAGAUAAGUGCUGAAAGCAUCUAAGCACGAAACUUGCCCCGAGAUGAGUUCUCCCUGAGACUUUAAGUCUCCUGAAGGAACGUUGAAGACGACGACGUUGAUAGGCCGGGUGUGUAAGCGCAGCGAUGCGUUGAGCUAACCGGUACUAAUGAACCGUGAGGCUUAACCU